GACUCACUAUAGGGCGAAUUGAAUUUAGCGGCCGCGAAUUCGCCCUUGCCGCCCGCCGCGCGCGGCGGGCGGGGCGGGGGCACGGGGGGACGGGGAGCAGCAGGCGCGAAACUCCGCAAUGCACGAAAGUGCGAUCGGGGGACACCCAAGUGCCACUUCAUACGGGGUGGCUCCGGUUAAGUAAAAAAGCUUUUUAAUAAGAGCCGGGCAAGACCGGUGCCAGCCGCCGCGGUAACACCGGCAGCUCAAGUGGUGAUCGUGUUUAUUGGGCCUAAAGCGUUCGUAGCCGGCUUGAUCAGUCUUCCGGGAAAUCUCACAGCUUAACUAUUAGACUUUCGGGAGAUACUACCAGGCUUGAAGCCGGGAGAGGUAAGCGGUACUCCCGGGGUAGGGGUGAAAUCUUAUAAUCCCGGGAGGACCACGUGUGGCGAAGGCG
rnacentral:rRNA from 1 species